GUUUUUAUUAAUCAUCAUUGAAAAUUUCACACCCCAACUACAAAUUCAUAAGAUCUACAUCUACAAAACUCUUCAACUGCCCCCCCCCCCCUUGUCCUCUCGUUGCUCAGUUUGCUCUAAUUACCGUCCCUGGCCGAUAUAUUUUUACUGUAUAUAUGAAACGUUGAAGGAGAAAAAAUACGACGGUGUGCAGAAUGACCGACACCGGUACCUGACAUUAAACAUUGGCAUGAAACAUUUUAAUUAAUGAAACAUUUAAAAAAUUUUAUAAGUAAGGUGGCUCCCUACAGUUCACUAGAAAAUGCAAUACUGACAUAGCAACUGCUGUUACUAUGGCCUAAUGACGCUUCAAUACUGGCAGGCCGAUAUUUUGGGUUUAAAACUUAACUCGGAAAAUAAGGUGGGUUAUCCCCAUUUUUUAUUUCAUUAAAAGAAUUCUUUUAGUAUUUUGAAUCAUUAUGAUUUUUUAAAAAAAUUC